CCCCUCAAACAAACAUCAACGACUCAUCCGUGUGUGAUAUUGUGAUAAUAACACAGUAAAGAAGAAGCAAACUCAAGCUCACCACAAAUUCUAAUCCAAAAAAAAUGUCAUCAUGGUUUGGUCCAUCCAUCCCUAAUUUAGAAGAACAAAUUGACAACAAUAAUAAUUCUAAUAAUUCACGCAUAAAACAAGACUUAACAGAAAUAACCCAAACCCUGUCUCAUCACUUUCAUGGAUUCGCUUCUCUUCUUUCAUCACAUCCGUCCGAUCCAGAAGCUCCUGACCCGGCACCCGUAUCCGGAUUACGCAGAGACUUUUCCGAGAUCAGCGGGAAGUUUCGCUCUGGAAUUUCAAAGCUGUCUAAUAAUAUGAUUGAUGUUUCAGAAAUCACCAAAUUUGCUUCUGAAUUACUUGAUGAUGACUCAACUGAUGACGAUGAGGAUGACGUGGUUGGUGUUACUGAUGAAGUUUUGGAAUUUGUUAAGGAUGUUUCUAUGCAUCCUAUGACUUGGUUGGAUUUUCCUUUACCUCCACAUGAAGAUAUUGAUUUAUCUGACAUACAACAAGAGCAUGCUUUGGCUGUUGAACGUUCAGUACCAACGUUGAUGUCUCUUAGGAUUAAGCUCUGCCCAACUCAUAUGAGUGAGACUUCGUUUUGGAAGAUAUAUUUUGUUCUCUUGCAUCCGAUACUUGAACGACACGCUGCUGAAAUUCUCUCCACGCCCAAUAUUUUGCAAGCUAGAGCCUCGUUAACGCAUGAGUUGAAGAACCGUUCUAAUGCACAGUCCGGUAGAGAAAUACCAAGAAGUAAUUCUUAUUCUGAAAAUAUUUCCGAUACCAAGUCAGAAUCGACCGCCCUUGGGGUAUCUGCAAUUGAGACUGUAAAACCCCCCUUCCAUAGUGAUGAAAUUCAGAUUGUAGGCAAAUCUGUGAUUCAAGUUGAGCCAUGUGAAGGCAAAGAUGAAGACGAAGUUGAAGCAGAUGAUUGGUUAAAUGAAGAGACCUCAGAAAUUGUUACUCAUAGUCUUAGAAUUAAUAUUGAGAAUGAUGAGCAUGUAUCAUUUAGUGAUCUUGAGGAUGAUGAUGACGAGGACGAUGAUGGAAACAUCCCCAUACAUUUCAAAAAAGCCGCAUAGUCUUCCGAUUCUUGAAUUAAAGAUUCACAAACUUGGGUAGAAUUGGGUUGAAGCUCCACUGAUUUCUCAGCUACAGAACGGGCUGGAUUUGGAUACAAGUCUGUACUUGCACGGUUGGGCCACGCUGUGCGUGUGGUACCAUCAUCAUCCAGCGUGGUAAUUACUGGUCCAUGCAUUCAGCAGCACAUGGCAUCCUAAUUUCCAGCUCAGUUAAUACAGAGCGAACCACCACCGGGAGAAACAACCCAUCUGUAUCAUAAUCUGGAUGUCUGUCUAUAGAAGAAGCUCAUCAACUGUUUCAAGCCAUUUGGGUUUACUGUCAACUUAUCGAAGGGCCAGUUUUGAAUAACUAACCAAUUCUCUUUAGUAUGUACAGGAUAUAGGCUAUAUACAUUUCUGUUAGAUGACCCAGACAGAUUUCAAAUAAUUUUAUCUGAUGUCCCCGAAGGGACACAAAGUUUGAACAAUUGAUUAUUACUUUAUUAGUCACACGUUGCAAAAAUGGAUAUAAUUUCUUCUUGGUAAA